rnacentral:rRNA from 1 species
UACGUAGGGGGCAAGCGUUGUCCGGAAUCAUUGGGCGUAAAGAGCGUGUAGGCGGCCAGAUAAGUCCGCUGUGAAAUCUCGAGGCUCAACUUCGAGCUGUCGGUGGAACUGUCUGGCUAGAGUCCGGAAGAGGAGAUGGAAUUCCUGGUGUAGCGGUGAAAUGCGCAGAUAUCAGGAAGAACACCCGUGGCGAAGGCGGUUCUCUGGGACGGUACUGACGCUGAGACGCGAAAGCGUGGGGAGCGAACAGG